GCCAGCAGCCAUAUCACUCUGCAACUCACAACUGGCAACCCACUGAAGCUAAGCAGGUGUGAGCCUGGUCAAUACCUGGAUGGGGGACCUCCUGGGAAAAACUAAGGUUGCUGCUGGAA
ensembl:rRNA 5S_rRNA 5S ribosomal RNA